rnacentral:rRNA from 1 species
CGGACGGGUGAGUAAUGUCUGGGAAACUGCCUGAUGGAGGGGGAUAACUACUGGAAACGGUAGCUAAUACCGCAUAACGUCGCGAGACCAAAGAGGGGGGCCUUCGGGCCUCUUGCCAUCGGAUGUGCCCAGAUGGGAUUAGCUAGUAGGUGGGGUAAAGGCUCACCUAGGCGACGAUCCCUAGCUGGUCUGAGAGGAUGACCAGCCACACUGGAACUGAGACACGGUCCAG